rnacentral:rRNA from 1 species
GACGAACGCGGCGGCGUGCCUAAUACAUGCAAGUAGAACGCUGAAGAGAGGAGCUUGCUCUUCUUGGAUGAGUUGCGAACGGGUGAGUAACGCGUAGGUAACCUGCCUGGUAGCGGGGGAUAACUAUUGGAAACGAUAGCUAAUACCGCAUGAUAUUGAAUAUCGCAUGAUAAUUAAUUGAAAGAUGCAAUUGCAUCACUACCAGAUGGACCUGCGUUGUAUUAGCUAGUUGGUGAGGUAACGGCUCACCAAGGCGACGAUACAUAGCCGACCUGAGAGGGUGAUCGGCCACACUGGGACUGAGACACGGCCCAGACUCCUACGGGAGGCAGCAGAAGGGAAUCUUCGGCAAUGGGGGGAACCCUGACCGAGCAACGCCGCGUGAGUGAAGAAGGUUUUCGGAUCGUAAAGCUCUGUUGUAAGAGAAGAACGGGUGUGAGAGUGGAAAGUUCACACUGUGACGGUAUCUACC